CAGAUGACAAUCAUAAAAGAAGAAGCCUUAUUAUUUGCAUAAAUCACUUUUAUGCAACUGAAACCUAGACUUUCCGCUCCAGUGAACCUGCAUCAGCCAUCUCCCUCCAGCGUACACCUGCAGAGACUGGCCAGGCCAAGCACCUGUAAAUGGGGCUGCCGUUACCCACAAGCAGGAAAAGAACCGGAUUUUGAGAAAAUACAAGAAACACAAACAGAAUUUUAAUUGGUUCUGGACCACCAACCCGAGGCACCCCUGCAAGUGUCCCGAGGCACCCCAGGGAACCACUGCUCUAACCUACUAAUGCCAAGAUUGGCUGCUGGCUCUCCUAGCCCGGCCCACAAGAAAACGAAUUGCACGCAAAAGAGGAAGAAUGAAGACAUCAGGGGCUGUGACCCCCAGGUCACGCAUCUAUAAUAUGCUAUCCUUACCUUGAAA